rnacentral:rRNA from 1 species
GGGGAGGUUUACCUGGCAGUUCGACGGGAGCUAACAUUUCNAAAGUUUUCGGAUGGACGAAAGAUAAGUUUAGUGGGCGGACGGGUGAGUAACACGUGAGCAACCUGCCUUUCAGAGGGGGAUAACAGUUGGAAACGACUGCUAAUACCGCAUAACGCUGCGAUGGGGCAUCCCGAUGCAGCCAAAGGAGCAAUCCGCUGGAAGAUGGGCUCGCGGCCGAUUAGCUAGUUGGUGGGGCAACGGCCCACCAAGGCGACGAUCGGUAGCCGGACUGAGAGGUUGAUCGGCCACAUUGGGACUGAGACACGGCCCAGACUCCUACGGGAGGCAGCAGUGGGGGAUAUUGCACAAUGGAGGAAACUCUGAUGCAGCGACGCCGCGUGAGGGAAGACGGUCUUCGGAUUGUAAACCUCUGUCUUUGGGGAAGAAAAUGACGGUACCCAAAGAGGAAGCUCCGGCUAACUACGUGCCAGCAGCCGCGGUAAUACGUAGGGAGCGAGCGUUGUCCGGAAUUACUGGGUGUAAAGGGAGCGUAGGCGGGCGAGAAAGUUGAAUGUUAAAUCUACCGGCUUAACUGGUAGCUGCGUUCAAAACUUCUUGUCUUGAGUGAAGUAGAGGCAGGCGGAAUUCCUAGUGUAGCGGUGAAAUGCGUAGAUAUUANGAGGAACACCAGUGGCGAAGGCGGCCUGCUGGGCUUUAACUGACGCUGAGGCUCGAAAGCGUGGGGAGCAAACAGGAUUAAAUACCCUGGUAGUCCACGCUGUAAACGAUGAUUACUAGGUGUGGGGGGACUGACCCCUUCCGUGCCGCAAUUAACACAAUAAGUAAUCCCCCUGGGGAGUAAGGCCGG